GUCAAGUAAUUAAGUGCAUGUGGUGGAUGCCUUGGCAGUCAGAGGCGAUGAAAGACGUGAUAGCCUGCGAAAAGCUCCGGGGAGGCGGCAAAUAUCCUUUGAUCCGGAGAUGUCUGAAUGGGGGAACCCACCUACUUUAAGGUAGGUAUUGCAACAUGAAUACAUAGUGUUGCAAGGCGAACGAGGGGAAGUGAAACAUCUCAGUACCCUUAGGAAAAGAAAUCAAUUGAGAUUCCCUCAGUAGCGGCGAGCGAACGGGGAUCAGCCCAUUAAGUUAUGUGUGUUUUAGUGGAACGCUCUGGGAAGUGCGAACGUAGAGGGUGAUAUUCCCGUACACGAAAGGGCACACAUAAUGAUGACGAGUAGGGCGAGGCACGUGAAACCUUGUCUGAAUAUGGGGGGACCAUCCUCCAAGGCUAAAUACUCCUGACUGACCGAUAGUGAACCAGUACCGUGAGGGAAAGGCGAAAAGAACCCCUGUGAGGGGAGUGAAAUAGAUCCUGAAACCGCAUGCAUACAAGCAGUGGGAGCACCUUCGUGGUGUGACUGCGUACCUUUUGUAUAAUGGGUCAGCGACUUAUAUUCAGUAGCGAGGUUAACCGUAUAGGGGAGCCGUAGAGAAAUCGAGUCUUAAUAGGGCGUUUAGUUGCUGGGUAUAGACCCGAAACCAGGCGAUCUAUCCAUGAGCAGGUUGAAGGUUGGGUAACACUAACUGGAGGACCGAACCCACUGUCGUUGAAAAGCCAGGGGAUGACUUGUGGAUAGGGGUGAAAGGCUAAUCAAGCCUGGUGAUAGCUGGUUCUCCCCGAAAGCUAUUUAGGUAGCGCCUCGGACGAAUACCAUAGGGGGUAGAGCACUGUUUCGGCUAGGGGGUCAUCCCGACUUACCAAACCGAUGCAAACUCCGAAUACCUAUGAGUACUAUCCGGGAGACAGACUGCGGGUGCUAACGUCCGUAGUCAAGAGGAAAACAAUCCAGACCGCCAGCUAAGGCCCCAAAAUCAUAGUUAAGUGGGAAACGAUGUGGGAAGGCAUAGACAGCUAGGAGGUUGGCUUAGAAGCAGCCACCCUUUAAAGAAAGCGUAAUAGCUCACUAGUCGAGUCGGCCUGCGCGGAAGAUGUAACGGGGCUAAAACUAUGUGCCGAAGCUGCGGAUGUAUACUUUGUAUACGUGGUAGGGGAGCGUUCUGUAAGCCGAUGAAGGUGUGUUGAGAAGCAUGCUGGAGGUAUCAGAAGUGCGAAUGCUGACGUGAGUAACGACAAAACGGGUGAAAAACCCGUUCGCCGAAAGACCAAGGGUUCCAGUCCAACGUUAAUCGGGGCUGGGUGAGUCGACCCCUAAGGCGAGGCCGAAAGGCGUAGUCGAUGGGAAAAUGGUUAAUAUUCCAUUACUUCUGUGUAAUGCGAUGAGAGGACGGAGAAGGCUAAAUCAGCCUGGCGUUGGUUGUCCAGGUGAAAGGAUGUAGGCAUGUAUCUUAGGCAAAUCCGGGGUACUCUAUGCUGAGAUCUGAUAGCAAGCUGUACUUGUACAGCGAAGUGGUUGAUGCCAUGCUUCCAGGAAAAGUCUCUAAGCUUCAGUUACACAGGAAUCGUACCCGAAACCGACACAGGUGGUCAGGUCGAGUAGACCAAGGCGCUUGAGAGAACUCUGCUGAAGGAACUAGGCAAAAUGGUACCGUAACUUCGGGAGAAGGUAC
rnacentral:rRNA from 1 species